rnacentral:miRNA from 1 species
GGUCUCGCUAUGCAGUUAUGGCUGGCCUUGAGCUCACUUUGUAGCCCAGGCUGGUCUUGAACUCAGAACAAUCCUCCUGCCUCAGCCUCCCGAGUGCUGGGAUUACAGGCGUGAGCCACCAUUCC